rnacentral:rRNA from 1 species
GACGAACGCUGGCGGCGUGCUUAACACAUGCAAGUCGAACGGAAAGGCCCUGCUUUUGUGGGGUGCUCGAGUGGCGAACGGGUGAGUAACACGUGAGUAACCUGCCCUUGACUUUGGGAUAACUUCAGGAAACUGGGGCUAAUACCGGAUAGGAGCUCCUGCUGCAUGGUGGGGGUUGGAAAGUUUCGGCGGUUGGGGAUGGACUCGCGGCUUAUCAGCUUGUUGGUGGGGUAGUGGCGUACCAAGGCUUUGACGGGUAGCCGGCCUGGGAGGGUGACCGGCCACAUUGGGACUGAGAUACGGCCCAGACUCCUACGGGAGGCAGCAGUGGAGAGUAUUGCACAAUGGGCGGAAGCCUGAUGCAGCAACGCCGCGUGCGGGAUGACGGCCUUCGGGUUGUAAACCGCUUUCGCCUGUGACGAAGCGUGAGUGACGGUAAUGGGUAAAGAAGCACCGGCUAACUACGUG